rnacentral:rRNA from 1 species
GAUGAACGCUAGCGGCAGGCCUAACACAUGCAAGUCGAGGGAGAAGCCCUUUCGGGGGCAGAAACCGGCGCACGGGUGCGUAACGCGUAUGCAACCUACCUUUCACAGGGGGAUAGCCCGAAGAAAUUUGGAUUAAUACCCCAUAAUAUUAUUGGAUGGCAUCAUUUGAUAAUUAAAACUGCGGUGGUGAAAGAUGGGCAUGCGUCCUAUUAGCUAGUUGGAGUGGUAACGGCACCCCAAGGCUACGAUAGGUAGGGGUCCUGAGAGGGAGAUCCCCCACACUGGUACUGAGACAGGGACCAGACUCCUACGGGAGGCAGCAGUGAGGAAUAUUGGUCAAUGGUCGGAAGACUGAACCAGCCAUGCCGCGUGCAGGAAGAAUGCCUUAUGGGUUGUAAACUGCUUUUAUAUGGGAAGAAUAAGGCGUACGUGUACGUGAUGA